rnacentral:rRNA from 1 species
GACGAACGCUGGCGGCGUGCUUAACACAUGCAAGUCGAACGGAAAGGCCCUGCUUUUGUGGGGUGCUCGAGUGGCGAACGGGUGAGUAACACGUGAGUAACCUGCCCUUGACUUUGGGAUAACUUCAGGAAACUGGGGCUAAUACCGGAUAGGAGCUCCUGCUGCAUGGUGGGGGUUGGAAAGUUUCGGCGGUUGGGGCUGGACUCGCGGCUUAUCAGCUUGUUGGUGGGGUAGUGGCUUACCAAGGCUUUGACGGGUAGCCGGCCUGAGCGGGUGACCGGCCACAUUGGGACUGAGAGACGGCCCAGACUCCUACGGGAGGCAGCAGGGGGGAAUAUUGCGCAAUGGGCGGAAGCCUGAUGCAGCAACGCCGCGUGCGGGAUGACGGCCUUCGGGUGGUAAACCGCUUUCGCCUGUGACGAAGCGUGAGUGACGGUAAUUGGUAAAGAAGCACCGGCUAACUACGUG